rnacentral:rRNA from 1 species
AGAGUUUGAUCCUGGCUCAGAGCGAACGCUGGCGGCAGGCCUAACACAUGCAAGUCGAACGGAUCCUUCGGGAUUAGUGGCGGACGGGUGAGUAACACGUGGGAACGUGCCCUUUGGUUCGGAACAACUCAGGGAAACUUGAGCUAAUACCGGAUGUGCCCUUCGGGGGAAAGAUUUAUCGCCAUUGGAGCGGCCCGCGUCUGAUUAGCUAGUUGGUGAGGUAAAGGCUCACCAAGGCGACGAUCAGUAGCUGGUCUGAGAGGAUGAUCAGCCACAUUGGGACUGAGACACGGCCCAAACUCCUACGGGAGGCAGCAGUGGGGAAUCUUGCGCAAUGGGCGAAAGCCUGACGCAGCCAUGCCGCGUGAAUGAUGAAGGUCUUAGGAUUGUAAAAUUCUUUCACCGGGGACGAUAAUGACGGUACCCGGAGAAGAAGCCCCGGCUAACUUCGUGCCAGCAGCCGCGGUAAUACGAAGGGGGCUAGCGUUGCUCGGAAUUACUGGGCGUAAAGGGAGCGUAGGCGGACUGUUUAGUCAGAGGUGAAAGCCCAGGGCUCAACCUUGGAAUUGCCUUUGAUACUGGCAGUCUUGAGUACGGAAGAGGUAUGUGGAACUCCGAGUGUAGAGGUGAAAUUCGUAGAUAUUCGGAAGAACACCAGUGGCGAAGGCGACAUACUGGUCCGUUACUGACGCUGAGGCUCGAAAGCGUGGGGAGCAAACAGGAUUAGAUACCCUGGUAGUCCACGCCGUAAACGAUGAGUGCUAGUUGUCGGCAUGCAUGCAUGUCGGUGACGCAGCUAACGCAUUAAGCACUCCGCCUGGGGAGUACGGUCGCAAGA